UACCACAUCCAAGGAAGGCAGCAGGCACGCAAAUUACCCACUCCCGGCACGGGGAGGUAGUGACAAAAAAUAACGAUACGGGACUCAUCCGAGGCCCCGUAAUCGGAAUGAGUACACUUUAAAUCCUUUAACAAGGAUCCAUUGGAGGGCAAGUCUGGUGCCAGCAGCCGCGGUAAUUCCAGCUCCAAUAGCGUAUAUUAAAGUUGUUGCAGUUAAAAAGCUCGUAGUUGAACUUUGGGCCCGGUUGGCCGGUCCGAUUUUUUCGUGUACUGGAUUUCCAACGGGGCCUUUCCUUCUGGCUAACCUUGAGUCCUUGUGGCUCUUGGCGAACCAGGACUUUUACUUUGAAAAAAUUAGAGUGUUCAAAGCAGGCGUAUUGCUCGAAUAUAUUAGCAUGGAAUAAUAGAAUAGGACGUUUGGUUCUAUUUUGUUGGUUUCUAGGACCAUCGUAAUGAUUAAUAGGGACGGUCGGGGGCAUCAGUAUUCAAUUGUCAGACUUGGCAAAUGCUUUCGCNNNNNNAUUCUUGGACCGUCGCAAGACGGACUAGAGCGAAAGCAUUUGCCAAGUAUGUCUUAAUUGAUCAAGAACGAAAGUUAGAGGUUCGAAGGCGAUCAGAUACCGCCCUAGUUCUAACCAUAAACGAUGUCAGCCAGCGAUCCGCCGCUGUUCAUUAAAUGACUCGGCGGGCAGCUUCUCGGGAAACCAAAGCUUUUGGGUUCCGGGGGAAGUAUGGUUGCAAAGCU
rnacentral:rRNA from 1 species